rnacentral:rRNA from 1 species
UACGGAGGGUGCAAGCGUUAAUCGGAAUUACUGGGCGUAAAGCGUGCGUAGGCGGUUUGUUAAGUCUGUUGUGAAAUCCCCGAGCUCAACUUGGGAAUUGCAAUGGAUACUGGCAGGCUGGAGUAUGGUAGAGGAAGGUGGAAUUCCCGGUGUAGCAGUGAAAUGCGUAGAGAUCGGGAGGAACACCGAUGGCGAAGGCAAUCCCCUGGGCCUGCACUGACGCUCAUGCACGAAAGCGUGGGGAGCAAACAGG